UUAAGCGACUAAGCGUACACGGUGGAUGCCCUGGCAGUCAGAGGCGAUGAAGGACGUGCUAAUCUGCGAUAAGCGUCGGUAAGGUGAUAUGAACCGUUAUAACCGGCGAUUUCCGAAUGGGGAAACCCAGUGUGUUUCGACACACUAUCAUUAACUGAAUCCAUAGGUUAAUGAGGCGAACCGGGGGAACUGAAACAUCUAAGUACCCCGAGGAAAAGAAAUCAACCGAGAUUCCCCCAGUAGCGGCGAGCGAACGGGGAGGAGCCCAGAGCCUGAAUCAGUGUGUGUGUUAGUGGAAGCGUCUGGAAAGGCGCGCGAUACAGGGUGACAGCCCCGUACACAAAAAUGCACAUGCUGUGAGCUCGAUGAGUAGGGCGGGACACGUGGUAUCCUGUCUGAAUAUGGGGGGACCAUCCUCCAAGGCUAAAUACUCCUGACUGACCGAUAGUGAACCAGUACCGUGAGGGAAAGGCGAAAAGAACCCCGGCGAGGGGAGUGAAAAAGAACCUGAAACCGUGUACGUACAAGCAGUGGGAGCACGCUUCGGCGUGUGACUGCGUACCUUUUGUAUAAUGGGUCAGCGACUUAUAUUCUGUAGCAAGGUUAACCGAAUAGGGGAGCCGAAGGGAAACCGAGUCUUAACUGGGCGUUAAGUUGCAGGGUAUAGACCCGAAACCCGGUGAUCUAGCCAUGGGCAGGUUGAAGGUUGGGUAACACUAACUGGAGGACCGAACCGACUAAUGUUGAAAAAUUAGCGGAUGACUUGUGGCUGGGGGUGAAAGGCCAAUCAAACCGGGAGAUAGCUGGUUCUCCCCGAAAGCUAUUUAGGUAGCGCCUCGUGAAUUCAUCUCCGGGGGUAGAGCACUGUUUCGGCAAGGGGGUCAUCCCGACUUACCAACCCGAUGCAAACUGCGAAUACCGGAGAAUGUUAUCACGGGAGACACACGGCGGGUGCUAACGUCCGUCGUGAAGAGGGAAACAACCCAGACCGCCAGCUAAGGUCCCAAAGUCAUGGUUAAGUGGGAAACGAUGUGGGAAGGCCCAGACAGCCAGGAUGUUGGCUUAGAAGCAGCCAUCAUUUAAAGAAAGCGUAAUAGCUCACUGGUCGAGUCGGCCUGCGCGGAAGAUGUAACGGGGCUAAACCAUGCACCGAAGCUGCGGCAGCGACGCUUAUGCGUUGUUGGGUAGGGGAGCGUUCUGUAAGCCUGUGAAGGUGUGCUGUGAGGCAUGCUGGAGGUAUCAGAAGUGCGAAUGCUGACAUAAGUAACGAUAAAGCGGGUGAAAAGCCCGCUCGCCGGAAGACCAAGGGUUCCUGUCCAACGUUAAUCGGGGCAGGGUGAGUCGACCCCUAAGGCGAGGCCGAAAGGCGUAGUCGAUGGGAAACAGGUUAAUAUUCCUGUACUUGGUGUUACUGCGAAGGGGGGACGGAGAAGGCUAUGUUGGCCGGGCGACGGUUGUCCCGGUUUAAGCGUGUAGGCUGGUUUUCCAGGCAAAUCCGGAAAAUCAAGGCUGAGGCGUGAUGACGAGGCACUACGGUGCUGAAGCAACAAAUGCCCUGCUUCCAGGAAAAGCCUCUAAGCAUCAGGUAACAUCAAAUCGUACCCCAAACCGACACAGGUGGUCAGGUAGAGAAUACCAAGGCGCUUGAGAGAACUCGGGUGAAGGAACUAGGCAAAAUGGUGCCGUAACUUCGGGAGAAGGCACGCUGAUAUGUAGGUGAGGUCCCUCGCGGAUGGAGCUGAAAUCAGUCGAAGAUACCAGCUGGCUGCAACUGUUUAUUAAAAACACAGCACUGUGCAAACACGAAAGUGGACGUAUACGGUGUGACGCCUGCCCGGUGCCGGAAGGUUAAUUGAUGGGGUUAGCCGCAAGGCGAAGCUCUUGAUCGAAGCCCCGGUAAACGGCGGCCGUAACUAUAACGGUCCUAAGGUAGCGAAAUUCCUUGUCGGGUAAGUUCCGACCUGCACGAAUGGCGUAAUGAUGGCCAGGCUGUCUCCACCCGAGACUCAGUGAAAUUGAACUCGCUGUGAAGAUGCAGUGUACCCGCGGCAAGACGGAAAGACCCCGUGAACCUUUACUAUAGCUUGACACUGAACAUUGAGCCUUGAUGUGUAGGAUAGGUGGGAGGCUUUGAAGUGUGGACGCCAGUCUGCAUGGAGCCGACCUUGAAAUACCACCCUUUAAUGUUUGAUGUUCUAACGUUGACCCGUAAUCCGGGUUGCGGACAGUGUCUGGUGGGUAGUUUGACUGGGGCGGUCUCCUCCUAAAGAGUAACGGAGGAGCACGAAGGUUGGCUAAUCCUGGUCGGACAUCAGGAGGUUAGUGCAAUGGCAUAAGCCAGCUUGACUGCGAGCGUGACGGCGCGAGCAGGUGCGAAAGCAGGUCAUAGUGAUCCGGUGGUUCUGAAUGGAAGGGCCAUCGCUCAACGGAUAAAAGGUACUCCGGGGAUAACAGGCUGAUACCGCCCAAGAGUUCAUAUCGACGGCGGUGUUUGGCACCUCGAUGUCGGCUCAUCACAUCCUGGGGCUGAAGUAGGUCCCAAGGGUAUGGCUGUUCGCCAUUUAAAGUGGUACGCGAGCUGGGUUUAGAACGUCGUGAGACAGUUCGGUCCCUAUCUGCCGUGGGCGCUGGAGAACUGAGGGGGGCUGCUCCUAGUACGAGAGGACCGGAGUGGACGCAUCACUGGUGUUCGGGUUGUCAUGCCAAUGGCACUGCCCGGUAGCUAAAUGCGGAAGAGAUAAGUGCUGAAAGCAUCUAAGCACGAAACUUGCCCCGAGAUGAGUUCUCCCUGACCCUUUAAGGGUCCUGAAGGAACGUUGAAGACGACGACGUUGAUAGGCCGGGUGUGUAAGCGCAGCGAUGCGUUGAGCUAACCGGUACUAAUGAACCGUGAGGCUUAACCUU
rnacentral:rRNA from 1 species